rnacentral:rRNA from 1 species
AUUCACACACUAGUGGCAAACGGGUGAGUAACACGUAGAUAACCUGCCUCAAAGUUUGGAAUAAGCUCUCGAAAGGGAGUUUAAUACCAAAUGUGGUGGCGAAACUUAGGUUUCGCUAUUAAAGCUUUUGCGCUUUGAGAGGGGUCUGCGUCCUAUCAGCUUGUUGGCGGGGUAAAAGCCCACCAAGGCAAUGACGGGUAGCCGGCUCGAGAGGGUGUACGGCCACAAUGGAACUGAGACACGGUCCAU